CCUGGGAGGCAGCAGUGGGGAAUAUUGGACAAUGGGGGGAACCCUGAUCCAGCCAUGCCGCGUGUGUGAAGAAGGCCCUCGGGUUGUAAAGCACUUUCAGUGAGGAAGAACGCCUGGUGGUUAAUACCCAUCAGGAAAGACAUCACUCACAGAAGAAGCACCGGCUAACUCCGUGCCAGCAGCCGCGGUAAUACGGAGGGUGCGAGCGUUAAUCGGAAUUACUGGGCGUAAAGCGCGCGUAGGUGGCUUGAUAAGCCGGUUGUGAAAGCCCCGGGCUCAACCUGGGAACGGCAUCGGGAACUGUCAAGCUAGAGUGCAGGAGAGGAAGGUAGAAUUCCCGGUGUAGCGGUGAAAUGCGUAGAGAUCGGGAGGAAUACCAGUGGCGAAGGCGGCCUUCUGGACUGACACUGACACUGAGGUGCGAAAGCGUGGGUAGCAAACAGGAUUAGAUACCCUGGUAGUC
rnacentral:rRNA from 1 species